AACGUAGGAGACAAACGUUAUCCGGAGUUACUGGGCGUAAAGGGCGUGCAGGCGGUUCGAUAAGUCUGGCGUGAAAUCAUUCGGCUUAACCGGGUGGUGUCGUCGGAGACUGUCGGACUAGAGGAUGAUAGAGGCGUGUGGAAUUCCGGGUGUAGUGGUGAAAUGCGUAGAGAUCCGGAGGAACACCAGUGGCGAAGGCGACAUCCUGGACCGGCAUUGACGCUGAGGAGCGAAAGCCAGGGGAGCAAACGGG
rnacentral:rRNA from 1 species